rnacentral:lncRNA from 1 species
UGGAGGCAGGGCUGUGCCAGCCUCAGAGGAUAUGUGGGUUAUGAAAGAAGGAUCUGGAACUACACCAUCUACAGAUAAGUGUACAGCACGCAGCCCGUCUACAAGUGCUGCCCCGGUCGGAGCCGGUGGGACCAUGAACCUGGCUGCCCAUGCUCUGUCUCUGCAAUGGGGACAUGUUUCAAUGGGAGGAGGUGCUCAGACAGUGAGGCCCAGCGGUGCCAGUGUUCAGAGGGUUUCCAAGGCCCCUGCUGUCAAUAUGGUGAGUCGCCAAUAAGACUGUUUUAUUAUGAUUUGGAGCUGUCUGCUUUGCUUUUAGGGGCCAGCCAAUUUUGUCGAUUCAGACUAAUGGCAGGGUUAUCCCUCCAGGGACUGGUGAGCAUUUAAAAUGAGCCACUAAGCAAAAACCUACAACCUACAGUGUACUCAGCAUCACAAAAUAUGCUUUGCAGUUUAGUUUUAAUUAUUCACUAUGAGUUCAAAGGGUAGCAGUAAGUACAAAAUAGUCUGUUUUGUAAAGGAAAAGGCAGCUUAAUAAGAAAACCUCAUUCUGACCUCAGAUGAUAAAUCUUUAACAGAGCAAUAGUUUGAAAGUGCUGGUACAGUAUUUUUCUGUGGGGUAUUUGUGGUUUAUGGAUGAACAAAGUGGGGGUUAGCACAGAUUCAAUGUGAUGUGAUAUUUACUACUUUUGUGCCCAUUAUUAAAAACAAAACAAAACAAAAAACCCAACGCUUGCUUGAUUCUCAAAGUAUCAAAACUUGGUAACCUAAUUUUCAAGGUUAGAACUCUAUCAACUGUCAGUUUUGGACAUGUGCAUUUGAAAUAUUUCUUGUACAGGAAAUUUUCAAAAUGGCCAAUGAUUUAUCUCUUUCUGCAUCUGCCGUGAGAUCGGUGCUUUCAGAAGGAUUUGUUUUGACUUGAUCAUCUGAUUCUAGCCUCCAGAGAAGGUGACUGCAUCUGCAUUUAUCUUUUCAGGGAAGAAAAAAACAAAAUAAAACCUAUCUUAACGGAAGUUAAAGAAAUAGG